UACGUAGGGGGCAAGCGUCAUUCGGAUUUACUGGGUGUAAAGGGAGCGUAGACGGCAGCGCAAGUCUGGAGUGAAAUGCCGGGGCUCAACCCCGGAACUGCUUUGGAAACUGUGCAGCUAGAGUGCGGGAGAGGUAAGCGGAAUUCCUAGUGUAGCGGUGAAAUGCGUAGAUAUUAGGAGGAACACCAGUGGCGAAGGCGGCUUACUGGACCGUAACUGACGCUGAGGUUCGAAAGCGUGGGUAGCAAACAGG
rnacentral:rRNA from 1 species